GACGAACGCUGGCGGCGUGCUUAACACAUGCAAGUCGAACGGAAAGGCCCUGCUUUUGUGGGGUGCUCGAGUGGCGAACGGGUGAGUAACACGUGAGUAACCUGCCCUUGACUUUGGGAUAACUUCAGGAAACUGGGGCUAAUACCGGAUAGGAGCUCCUGCUGCAUGGUGGGGGUUGGAAAGUUUCGGCGGUUGGGGCUGGACUCGCGGCUUAUCAGCUUGUUGGUGGGGUAGUGGCUUACCAAGGCUUUGACGGGUAGCCGGCCUGAGAGGGUGACCGGCCACAUUGGGACUGAGAUACGGACCAGACUCCUACGGGAGGCAGUAGUGGGGAAUAUUGCACAAUGGGCGGAAGCCUGAUGCAGCAACGCCGCGUGCGGGAUGACGGCCUUCGGGUUGUAAACCGCUUUCGCCUGUGACGAAGCGUGAGUGACGGUAAUGGGUAAAGAAGCACCGGCUAACUACGUG
rnacentral:rRNA from 1 species